CCACCUCCCACCCCCUUCCACCAGACCCCUCGCUGUCGCACGUCCUAGAUUGGAGCGGUGGAUCUGCAUCUCAUCUCUUCAUCACCGAGUCCAUGAGGUGCUCGAUGUGGCAGGGGCGACGAAGAGGAGCGCCGCAUCAAUAGCAGCGACGAACGACGGCCCAGCUGCGGCUCAGACUUGGUGGCCGAGCAGCAGCGACCUCGACGCGGCGCAUGCAUGGUAGCUGAUGCACGGCACAGCGACCGCGACCAGGACGCGGUGGUGGGAGUACGGCGACGGCUGCCAAGACCUGGCGUGACGGCGAUGAAGAUAUCGACUCCGACGACUCGCCUCCGUUCAACAGCGCCCUGCUUUUCCGCAUCGCCUCCAUCAAGCAUCACCUUCUUUUCCGCGCGCACAUCACCCCGGUCACUGGUAAACCGCUGUAUCUCUGUACUCUGCUGGCGUUCUGGAUUUAGGAGCUCUGGGAUUUGGAGAAUGCACGGGCUGGAGUUGGGGAAUAGCCCGGGCUUCCUGCAGAAGACGAUAGGUCUUGUUUGGAAAAAAAUUUAGAAGAAUGAAUCUGAUUUGGAUGAGACUAAUCAGUACGUCAUGUGGGCCUCCAAGCGAAAUUUGUGGUGGGAACUUUCCUUCCAUUCAUCUUCUAAUCAGAUUUGAUAUUUGUGCCAUUGAUUUGAGUGCUGAUGAAGAGCUUUCUAUGGACGAAGAGUCAACAAUGCAUUGGCAUUUUCCAAGUCCAUUCCCUCCUUUUAACUAUUCAACUUUCUUCUCUUCUUUUUUUGGAGAACUAACUUCUUUUCUUUGUGAAAAAACUAUUCACGAAUCGGAAUCAUCGAAUUCACAAACUGCUCAGCCGAUUCACGAACUAGAGAUGUAUGCACCCCACCGAACUCAAUUUGUAGGCACUACCGAAUCGCAAAUCCCGAACCCGAAUCAGUGGACUGCGAAUCCGGUAACUAUGGCAGGGACUGACAAGUGGCAUCAGACGUCUGGUAGCGUAAAGGACGACGGGUGGUGGUAGGGCUAUGGGAGGAGCAGGUAGACGGAGGAGGUUACCUGUGGAAAUCUGGCAUGUGGCGGCAUAAAGGUUGUGUAGAAAUCACUCAAGUCUGCUUUUUAUUAUGGAAGCUCGUUGUAUGUGUAAAAUUAUUUAUACUCUUGGUCCCGGCGCACGGAGCCUACAAAACGCCGAAUGUUCCUGCUGCUGCUUACCAAGCGGGAAAACACCAGAAAUAAGUUCAACUUGGGGAAGAGCAUGAAGAUGAUGAACUCGCUCGGCGGCUUGUACCGUGUUUUGUGCUGGAGGAACAUAAAAAUCUCCGUUUCCUCGUUACUUUAUUCUGAUGGUUUAUUUGCCAUAUGUUAGAUUGGCGAGAGGUGGGGUAACAGAAAGAGGCGACGUUAAAAUCGGUGCUAGUGACGACGACGGUAGACACGAUGAGCUUGGCAACAGCGGCUGCCGCAACAUUGUUGUACUUGGAGCCCAUGCUAUCCGAGCUCAACAAUGCCAAUAGAUCAGUCCUUUUGCGUGUUCAUUGACAAGUUGUCGUAAAGUACCUUGGCGUCAACAACCACGGCCAUAAUGACAGAGUCGUGCUGGCCGACUGCCCUGCUUCCAUGCGCCAAGCAAUCUACUGGUUUGAGAAAGGAGUUGUAAGAAGUGUUCCUUAGAAAUUGUACACUAAACUGCUUGCACAUUUUCAUGCAUGUUGGCACUCACCUUGGAGCACAAUUAAAUGGAAAUCAGUAGCAAAAAUACAAUCUGCAUAGUGGUAAUCUAAUCCUAGAAUUUGGCUUCAUUUAUAUA